rnacentral:ncRNA from 1 species
AGCUGAGAUUCCCUACCGGCGGUUAUAGUCCGCGACCCGCUUCGGUGGCUGAUCUGGUGAAAUUCCAGAACCGACAGUAUAGUCUGGAUGAGAGAAGA